GACCUGUUGUUUCUGGAAGGCCGCUGGAUGAUACUUCUCAGAUGUGGCCCGGGGUCUGGCAGCCUGAUGACUAAAAGCAACCUUAAGGCGCUUUGUCCAGCAGCCAUGGGAACCGCAAGGGAGCCCCACAUCUUUGGGGACAAGAACCGACUCUUAGUGGCAGGCUGCCUGGAGUGACCUUCUCCACCUCUGGCCAUUGCAGGCUCCUAUAAUUAGGUCAUUCGUAGGCGAAGGAAGGUUUACCUGCUGGGAUGUGUCGCCCGUGCACCUGACACCCCCAGCACACACCUGUCCCUGCACGAUGGCGGGGCCGAAGUAGGCCUUCGAUCCUGGCCUCAUCCCAAGCCUAGCUUCCUCUCAUGUGGCCUUCUGCACCCCUAGUGUGCACUUUCCUCCGAGUCCUGUGCCCACUGGAAACAAUCUUGUCCUGCUUUCUAGAAGAACAAGCCAGGGCUGUGUUCUGAUGCUGGUAGAAGCAACUACUGCGUGGUCUGUAAAGGAAGCUGAUAUUCUUAAGGAUCGGCCUUUGACCUGGUUAUAAAUCUCUUCUGGGGCUUGUGAAACGUGUUCACACUGCACUGUCUGCAUUUGAAGAGAUACUUAGCUGUACAGAGCGUCAACUCUUGACCAGAUUGGAUGCUUAGGGGAUAGAGGGGUUAUGCAGCAAAAAGGGGCUGCUGCCCAGGUGGAGCUUGAACUUUCCUGGCUGGAAAUGGAAUGGAUGGAAUACACUGGUUUCCUCCAUAGUUUGAGAGGUAUAGAAGCCAAAGGAUAGUUAUCCAUGAAGGUCAAGGCAAGAGCUGAUCUAGCUCUACUGUGGGAAAGUCAAGCCUGUCACACACUGGAGAAGACACAGCUCAGAGGGUUCAGAAGACACCCUGACCCACAAGCUUUAGAUGGCCUCAGUGGCCCCAUCCACAAAUGGCACUGAUGAGAAUCCUCUUUUAUCCAGGACAACCUGCUUGGCCAGAAGAACUGGCUUGACCAAUUCUGCUGUCUCUAGUGGGUACCUCCCACUAGUGUUCCGGAAGAAAGUACCUGAGAUCUACUCUUCCAGAAGCCUCCUUACAUACUUGUUCAGCCAGUCCUUUCAGCUCAAAUUCUGACUCUGGUUUGCAUCGAACAACUCCAAAUAAAAAACAGGAGUAAGAGUUGAGACUGUGCGAGAUGAAUAAAGAAAUG
rnacentral:lncRNA from 1 species